UACGUAGGGGGCAAGCGUUGUCCGGAUUUAUUGGGCGUAAAGCGCGUGUAGGCGGCCUGGAAGGUCAGCUGUGAAAACUCGAGGCUCAACCUCGAGACGUCGGUUGAAACCACCUGGCUAGAGUCCGGAAGAGGAGAAUGGAAUUCCUGGUGUAGCGGCGAAAUGCGCAGAUAUCAGGAAGAACACCCGUGGCUAAGGCGGUGCUCUAGUACGGUACUGACGCUGAGACGCGAAAGCAUGGGUAGCGAACAGG
rnacentral:rRNA from 1 species